rnacentral:snRNA from 1 species
AGACGUGAGGGGGAUCUGGCUGGGCCAUCUGUCGUCCAUUGAUGGCCAGGGUUGACUUGGCUGAUCUGGCUGGCUAGGCAGGUGUCGUCUUCCUCCCUCACUGCUCCGUGUGCCUCCUUCCUGAAGCUGUGUAAUAAGUUGAAGAGGACGACCUUCCCCAACAGAGGAGGACAGUUCUAUCGGGGCUGUAUGUCUUGCUGUGCUCCCCUGCUGGACCAGGCCUCCAAACAAACUCUCAAGGAAGGAGCCUCUCCUCAAAGAAUGACAUGAGUCAAGAAUCUUUGUGGAAAAGGGCAGAGAAAGAAACCCAGAGAGGGUGUCCCUUAAGAUUCUCCAAUUGUCU